ACGAACGCUGGCGGCGUGCUUAACACAUGCAAGUCGAACGGAAAGGCCCCUUUGGGGGUACUCGAGUGGCGAACGGGUGAGUAACACGUGAGUAACCUGCCCUUGACUUCGGGAUAACUUCAGGAAACUGGGGCUAAUACCGGAUAGGAAUCCUUGCUGCAUGGUGGGGGUUGGAAAGCUUCGGCGGUUUUGGAUGGACUCGCGGCUUAUCAGCUUGUUGGUGGGGUAGUGGCUUACCAAGGCUUUGACGGGUAGCCGGCCUGAGAGGGCGACCGGCCACAUUGGGACUGAGAUACGGCCCAGACUCCUACGGGAGGCAGCAGGGGGGAAUAUUGCACAAUGGGCGGAAGCCUGAUGCAGCAACGCCGCGUGCGGGAGGACGGCCUUCGGGUUGUAAACCGCUUUCAGCAGGGGCGAAGCUUGUGGUGACGGUACCUGCAGAAGAAGCACCGGCUAACUACGUG
rnacentral:rRNA from 1 species